ensembl:lncRNA
UUUUUUAUUUUUCCUAGGCUUAGGUUAUCUAAUUGUGCAAAACAGAAAAUGAGAAACAUAUUACCAUAUUUACUGAACUAGGAUUGGCAGUAAGCAGGCUGUUUAAUUCUCCAAAGGCCAAUCACCAACAAAAUCAACAUUCUUUCAAUUUACUUGGGGGAAGUCUAAAAAUAUUAAUGCUGUGUCAUAUCUGGAAGUGAUAUGCUUCAAAUUAAACAAAUGCAAAGCUUCUGGUUAAUAAACUGAUAGUUAUCACACUAAAAUGGCUCAUCCUUGAAGUGUCACAAAACCAGUAAUAAGAAUUUUAUUUAACUGUGAAUAAGAUACAGCACUGUCGACAUGAUAUUUUGUUCCUAUAACUUUGCAUAUGGCCAUUUUGGGAAGAUAAUUUCUACGAGUUUACCACUUGUCUUUUAAAAAUUGACUUGCCAUCUUUACGUCCUCUGCUAGAUGGGUUACUCUUCAUGAUGUCAGGAUGCUAGUUUUUUAGACUGCCUCAGAACAUACUUUAUCCACAUGAAAUUAACCUAAUAUAAACAUUUUUAUUUUUCUUUACUGGCCAAGUAGUAGUAUUGGAGACUCUGAGGUACAUUUUCUUUGUGUGACACUGCCUCCAGGCCUUCCUGAUGCUGCUGCCAUAAAAUCCACUUAUGUGGACCACCUUGCACAGUUCACAUGUGGUAUUUUACAAAUUCUGACUAGUUGAUGGGGUUUUAAAUAGCAGAUUUAUUUAUUUAUUUAGAGUCUCACUUUGCCGCCCAAGCUGGAAUGCAGUGAGUGAGGCUCCAUCUCAAAAAAUAAAUGAAUAAAUAAAUAAAAGAAAAAUAAAAAAAAGGAUAAAUAAGUUCUUUCACACAGGUCGAUAAAAAGGCAUGAUCUGUAUUUUGGAUCUAACAUAUUUAUUACACUGAUAUGUUCCCAACAUAGAAUUAUUUUUCAUAAUGAAAAGUGUAUACCAGAAUAUAUCAAAUAUAUUAUUAGGUAUUAAAAGGUUUCCUGAUUACAAAGGAUGUCAUAAAAAUUUUAAGGAUGGAUGAUAAAUUCUGAGUUUUUCCUUCAGGCAAGCACUCAGUGUUUUUAUUACUGGUUGAGUAACCUUUAUCUGAAAUGCUUGGGACAAAAGUAUUUCAGAUAUUUUUGAUUUGGGAUAUUUGCGUAUACAUAAUAAGAUAUCUUGGGGAUGGGACCCAAGCCUAAAAGGGAAAUUCAUUUGUUUCACAUACACCUUACCCACAUAGCCUGAAGGUAAGGUUAUAUAUUUUAAAUAAUUUUGUGCAUGAAAGCAAAAGUUGUGGUGGCAUUUUUUAAAAAAUGUUUUUGUUUUGUUUUGUUUUGUUUACAGACAGUCUCACUGUAUUGUCCAGGCUGGACUCAAACUCCUGGACUCAAGCAAUCCUCCUGCCUCAACCUCCUGAGUAGCUGGCAUUACAGGUGCCCACCACACCAGGCUUGUGAUUUGACUGUGACCCAGUGUCACAUGAGGGCACUUCUGGAAUUUUCCAUUUGUGUGUGGGGUCACGUCAGCACGCAAAAAAUUUCUAAUUUUAGAGCAUUUUGGAUUUCAGAUUAGGAAUGCUUAACCUAAGUUUGUAGAAGAAAUUUUUUAGCCUUAGAAUAGGGAUGUUUCAGAUUGUUCAACAGACAAAUGAAAAAGACUAAAAAACCCAGAAAACAUUGGAAUGAUAAAUCAUUAAGUAUAUUUAAAUGUGUUGUUUACCUCUUGCCCGUACAAAACCACUCAUGACAUACAUACAAAUGUAAAGACAAAACUGUAUUCACCUGAUUAACAAGAGCCAGCGUUCACUGCAUGCUGAUCAAGGAACCAACACAAAUUUUAUCAUACACUAAAAAAAGGUAGAACAAAGGCCAACUUAAAGCCUGGAAAGUGAUCCAAUCUGUCAUAUUAGUGUACCACAGAGUAAUUUUGAAAGCCUUUUCUUUUUCUUUAUUUUUGAAAAGACGGAGUCUCGCUCUGUCGCCCAGGCUGGAGGGCAGUGGCGCGAUCUCGGCUCACUGCAACCUCACCCUCCCGGCUUCAAGCCAUUCUCCUGCCUCAGCCUCCCGAGCAGCUGGGAUUACAGGCGCGCGCCGCCACGCCCGGCUAAUUUUUUGUAUUUUAGUAGAGACGGGGUUUCACCGUGUCGCCCAGGCUGGCCUCGAACCCCUGAACUCAGGCAAUCCGCCCACCUCGGCCUCCUAAAAUGCUAGGAUUACAGGCGUGAGCCACCGCGCCCGGACUUUUCUCUUUUUUAAAACCAAUUUCACUAACAUUUACUAAAAAAUGGUUUUCUGCUUUGCAGAAGAGACUUAAGGCAUGUGGAGAAGACACUGCGGGCCUGUCUCAGAUUCCUUUAGAAACCAAUGCUCCACAGUUUUAGGACUAAGUAAUAUUCCGAUAAUCACCCAAGAGUUCCUGGUCUCCGGUUUGUUGUGAGAUUGGAAAUGAACGUGAAAGGCUGCGUUCGUCAUCGUGGCCUUAUUUCUUCUCCCAACUUCCGGUCGUGCAGGUGUCUCGGGCAGGUGAUGCCGAGGCCACUCUGCCGUGUUUUGUGAAUCUUGGCAGAAGGGAGGCGAGCUGUAAAUAAAAGCAUGAGCAUUAGAAUCGCCGCUGUGUAGUAUUAACCUGUUGAGCGCGGGGCUUUCCGGGGCUGGAGCUGCACCGCGGGCUCUGCCGUCUGGGACUCUCCUCCAGCGCGGACCGGACACGACCCCAGGCACCAGGCCGGGCCCGGCCGGGACAGCGGGGUCUUGGGCAGCGGCGGGGCCGGGCGCCCCUCCAGCACGUCCCCAGCUCGGGCGUCGAGGCCUGGCGGAGACCCCAGGACUCGCCACGGCGGC